AAUUUCAUACCAUGACCAACCGCUUCACACCCUAUCAAUUAUACCACAUACCUAGCUAAUCUCUUCCAGAUCACCACUUAGUAGGUCUCUUCCAAAUCCGUUCCGUACAGUUAUUCAUAAUCAUAAUAGUGGUACUUCCCAAACUUGCUUAAACUGAGCAUGGUCUACCAGGUUGGUUUUCCCACGCGUCUGACUUCCAUGAACU
rnacentral:lncRNA from 1 species